CCUACGGGAGACAGCAGUGGGGAAUAUUGCACAAUGGGGGAAACCCUGAUGCAGCGACGCCGCGUGAGUGAAGAAGUAUUUCGGUACGUAAAGCUCUAUCAGCAGGGAAGAAAAUGACGGUACCUGACUAAGAAGCCCCGGCUAACUACGUGCCAGCAGCCGCGGUAAUACGUAGGGGGCAAGCGUUAUCCGGAUUUACUGGGUGUAAAGGGAGCGUAGACGGCAGCGCAAGUCUGGAGUGAAAUCCCAUGGCUUAACCAUGGAACUGCUUUGGAAACUGUGCAGCUAGAGUGCAGGAGAGGUAAGCGGAAUUCCUAGUGUAGCGGUGAAAUGCGUAGAUAUUAGGAGGAACACCAGUGGCGAAGGCGGCUUACUGGACUGUAACUGACGUUGAGGCUCAAAAGCGUGGGGAGCAAACAGGAUUAGAUACCCUUGUAGUC
rnacentral:rRNA from 1 species